rnacentral:rRNA from 1 species
UAGUAGGAAAUCAAGGGCGUAUGGUGGAUGCCUAGGCUAGAAAAAGCGAUGAAAGACGCGGCGUGGCGGCGAUACGCUCCGGGGAGGUGCCGAGCAACCUUCGAUCCGGAGAUGUCUGAAUGCGGAAACGCAGUACGAUGAACUCGUACUAUCCCGAGCUUUAGCAAGGGAAGCAUACCGAGGGAAGUAAAACAUUUCAGUACCUCGAGGAAAAUAAACCAAUAGGAAUUUCGUCAGUAGCGGCGAGCGAACGCGAAUCAGUCUAAACUUUAUCUAAAUCGUAGUCGGGAUAUGCUUUCUCGAUUGCGAUUUAGAUAGAGGGUUGCAAGGUAGAGACGUGACAUUUAUGUCAGAGAAGUUACAAAGUCUAUUCUUAGGAGAACGAUCUGGAAAGGUCGGCCCCAGCGGGUGAUAGCCCCGUAUCUAAAAAUAAUAGACCUUCUUUGUUUCUAUUCUUAAGUACCCCGGGACACGAAUAGCUCGGGGGAACCCGCCGGAACUAACCGGCAAGACUAAAUAUUUUUCUAGACCGAUAGUGAACUAGUACCGUGAGGGAAAGGUGAAAAGCAGCCCGGAAGGGCGGUGAAAUAGAUCUGAAACCAUAUGCCUACAAGGAGUCAGCGCGGACAGAACAGUGUUUCUGACGCAGAUAUUAUCGAGUGAGGAAGACUUGACGCAGGCGCGUGAGCGUCGAGUCAUGGAGCGGCUAGCAAGCCGACUCCUCCGUCUUCCGAAUGUGAUAAUGUCUGCGUCGGUGAUAGCGCUCUGUCCGUCAUGGCGUGCCUAUUGAAGAAUGAGCCAACGAGUUUUUGCAAGCAGCUCGGCUAAGGGCGAGAGCCCGGAGUCACAGGGAAACCGAGUCUGAACAGGGCGUUUGUUGUUUGCAAAGGACCCGAAGCCAGAUGAGCUUGCCACGCGCAGGGUGAAGUUCGCCGAAAGGCGGAUGAAGGCCCGAACCGGUUAGCCGUGCAAAACUAUCGGAUGACGUGUGGUAAGGAGUGAUAAGCUAAUCGAAUCUGGUAAUAGCUGGUUCUCUCCGAAAGAACUUUUGGGUUUGCGUCGCAUGUACCUCUGUGGGGUAGAGCACUGGAAGAUCUCGACAGGCCGAAAGGCCACGAGACCUAUCAAACUCCGAAUACACAGAGUCAAGUAUG